UUAAGCGACUAAGCGUACACGGUGGAUGCCCUGGCAGUCAGAGGCGAUGAAGGGCGUGCUAAUCUGCGAUAAGCGCCGGUAAGGUGAUAUGAACCGUUAUAACCGGCGAUACCCGAAUGGGGAAACCCAGUGUGAUUCGUCACACUAUCAUUAACUGAAUCCAUAGGUUAAUGAGGCGAACCGGGGGAACUGAAACAUCUAAGUACCCCGAGGAAAAGAAAUCAACCGAGAUUCCCCCAGUAGCGGCGAGCGAACGGGGAGGAGCCCAGAGCCUGAAUCAGCAUGUGUGUUAGUGGAAGCGUCUGGAAAGGCGCGCGAUACAGGGUGACAGCCCCGUACACAAAAGCGCAUGUGCUGUGAGCUCGAUGAGUAGGGCGGGACACGUGGUAUCCUGUCUGAAUAUGGGGGGACCAUCCUCCAAGGCUAAAUACUCCUGACUGACCGAUAGUGAACCAGUACCGUGAGGGAAAGGCGAAAAGAACCCCGGCGAGGGGAGUGAAAAAGAACCUGAAACCGUGUACGUACAAGCAGUGGGAGCACAGGUUUACCUGUGUGACUGCGUACCUUUUGUAUAAUGGGUCAGCGACUUAUAUUCUGUAGCAAGGUUAACCGAAUAGGGGAGCCGGAGGGAAACCGAGUCUUAACCGGGCGUUAAGUUGCAGGGUAUAGACCCGAAACCCGGUGAUCUAGCCAUGGGCAGGUUGAAGGUUGGGUAACACUAACUGGAGGACCGAACCGACUAAUGUUGAAAAAUUAGCGGAUGACCUGUGGCUGGGGGUGAAAGGCCAAUCAAACCGGGAGAUAGCUGGUUCUCCCCGAAAGCUAUUUAGGUAGCGCCUCGUGAAUUCAUCUCCGGGGGUAGAGCACUGUUUCGGCUAGGGGGCCAUCCCGGCUUACCAACCCGAUGCAAACUGCGAAUACCGGAGAAUGUUAUCACGGGAGACACACGGCGGGUGCUAACGUCCGUCGUGAAGAGGGAAACAACCCAGACCGCCAGCUAAGGUCCCAAAGUCAUGGUUAAGUGGGAAACGAUGUGGGAAGGCCCAGACAGCCAGGAUGUUGGCUUAGAAGCAGCCAUCAUUUAAAGAAAGCGUAAUAGCUCACUGGUCGAGUCGGCCUGCGCGGAAGAUGUAACGGGGCUAAACCAUGCACCGAAGCUGCGGCAGCGACGCUUAUGCGUUGUUGGGUAGGGGAGCGUUCUGUAAGCCUGUGAAGGUGGCCUGUGAGGGUUGCUGGAGGUAUCAGAAGUGCGAAUGCUGACAUAAGUAACGAUAAAGCGGGUGAAAAGCCCGCUCGCCGGAAGACCAAGGGUUCCUGUCCAACGUUAAUCGGGGCAGGGUGAGUCGACCCCUAAGGCGAGGCCGAAAGGCGUAGUCGAUGGGAAACGGGUUAAUAUUCCCGUACUUGGUGUUACUGCGAAGGGGGGACGGAGAAGGCUAUGUUGGCCGGGCGACGGUUGUCCCGGUUUAAGCGUGUAGGUGUGUGUUCCAGGUAAAUCCGGUUCACUUUAACACUGAGGCGUGACGACGAGGCACUACGGUGCUGAAGCAACAAAUGCCCUGCUUCCAGGAAAAGCCUCUAAGCAUCAGGUAACAUCAAAUCGUACCCCAAACCGACACAGGUGGUCAGGUAGAGAAUACCAAGGCGCUUGAGAGAACUCGGGUGAAGGAACUAGGCAAAAUGGUGCCGUAACUUCGGGAGAAGGCACGCUGACACGUAGGUGAAGUGAUUUACUCAUGGAGCUGAAGUCAGUCGAAGAUACCAGCUGGCUGCAACUGUUUAUUAAAAACACAGCACUGUGCAAACACGAAAGUGGACGUAUACGGUGUGACGCCUGCCCGGUGCCGGAAGGUUAAUUGAUGGGGUCAGCGCAAGCGAAGCUCCUGAUCGAAGCCCCGGUAAACGGCGGCCGUAACUAUAACGGUCCUAAGGUAGCGAAAUUCCUUGUCGGGUAAGUUCCGACCUGCACGAAUGGCGUAAUGAUGGCCAGGCUGUCUCCACCCGAGACUCAGUGAAAUUGAACUCGCUGUGAAGAUGCAGUGUACCCGCGGCAAGACGGAAAGACCCCGUGAACCUUUACUAUAGCUUGACACUGAACAUUGAGCCUUGAUGUGUAGGAUAGGUGGGAGGCUUUGAAGCGUGGACGCCAGUCUGCGUGGAGCCGACCUUGAAAUACCACCCUUUAAUGUUUGAUGUUCUAACGUGGACCCGUUACCCGGGUUGCGGACAGUGUCUGGUGGGUAGUUUGACUGGGGCGGUCUCCUCCUAAAGAGUAACGGAGGAGCACGAAGGUUGGCUAAUCCUGGUCGGACAUCAGGAGGUUAGUGCAAUGGCAUAAGCCAGCUUGACUGCGAGCGUGACGGCGCGAGCAGGUGCGAAAGCAGGUCAUAGUGAUCCGGUGGUUCUGAAUGGAAGGGCCAUCGCUCAACGGAUAAAAGGUACUCCGGGGAUAACAGGCUGAUACCGCCCAAGAGUUCAUAUCGACGGCGGUGUUUGGCACCUCGAUGUCGGCUCAUCACAUCCUGGGGCUGAAGUAGGUCCCAAGGGUAUGGCUGUUCGCCAUUUAAAGUGGUACGCGAGCUGGGUUUAGAACGUCGUGAGACAGUUCGGUCCCUAUCUGCCGUGGGCGCUGGAGAACUGAGGGGGGCUGCUCCUAGUACGAGAGGACCGGAGUGGACGCAUCACUGGUGUUCGGGUUGUCAUGCCAAUGGCACUGCCCGGUAGCUAAAUGCGGAAGAGAUAAGUGCUGAAAGCAUCUAAGCACGAAACUUGCCCCGAGAUGAGUUCUCCCUGAGACUUAGAGUCUCCUGAAGGAACGUUGAAGACGACGACGUUGAUAGGCCGGGUGUGUAAGCGCAGCGAUGCGUUGAGCUAACCGGUACUAAUGAACCGUGAGGCUUAACCUU
rnacentral:rRNA from 1 species